rnacentral:tRNA from 1 species
AGCACGAUGGCCGAGUGGUUAAGGCGUUGGACUUAAGUUCCAAUGGACAAGUGUCCACGUGGGUUCGAACCCCACUCGUGCUA